GGUCGACGACCGGCGCACGGGUGAGUAACGCGUAUGCAACCUACCUUUUACAGGAGGAUAGCCCAGAGAAAUUUGGAUUAAUACUCCAUAGUACUAAUGAAUCACCUGGUUUAUUAGUUAAAACUCCGGUGGUAAAAGAUGGGCAUGCGUGUCAUUAGCUAGUUGGUAAGGUAACGGCUUACCAAGGCGAAGAUGACUAGGGGUUCUGAGAGGAAGACCCCCCACACUGGUACUGAGACACGGACCAGACUCCUACGGGAGGCAGCAGUGAGGAAUAUUGGUCAAUGGGUGAGAGCCUGAACCAGCCAUGCCGCGUGAAGGAAGACUGCCCUAUGGGUUGUAAACUUCUCUACUGCAGGAAGAAAUCACUCUACGUGUAGGGUGUUGCCGGUACUGCAGGAAUAAGCAUCGGCUAACUCCGUGCCAGCAGCCGCGGUAAUACGGAGGAUGCAAGCGUUAUCCGGAUUUAUUGGGUUUAAAGGGUGCGUAGGCGGGCUUGUAAGUCAGUGGUGAAAUGCUGUGGCUUAACCAUAGAAUUGCCAUUGAAACUGCAAGUCUUGAGUACAGUUGAGGUGGGCGGAAUGAGUAAAUGUAGCGGUGAAAUGCAUAGAUAUUACUCAAGAACUCCGAUUGCGUAGGCAGCUUGCUAAACUGUAACUGACGCUGAUGCACGAAAGCGUGGGGAGCGAACAGGAUUAGAUACCCUGGUAGUCCACGCUGUAAACGAUGAGCACUGGUUGUUGGCAAUACACCGUCCGAGACUGAGCGAAAGUAUUUAGUGCUCCACCUGGGGAGUACUUCGGCUACGAUGAAACUCUAAGGAAUUUACGUGGGCCCGCACAAGCGGAGGAACAUGUGGUGUAAUUCGAUGAUACGCGAGGAACCUUACCUGGGCUUAAAUGUAGAGUGCAUUGCUUGGAAACAGGCAUUUUCUUCGGAACUCUUUACA
rnacentral:rRNA from 1 species